CGACCGGCGCACGGGUGAGUAACGCGUAUCCAACCUGCCCUUUACUAUGGGACAGCCCGUCGAAAGGCGGAUUAAUACCGUAUGUUGUCAUGUUGAUGCAUAUUUUCAUGACCAAAGGCUUCGGCCGGUAAAGGAUGGGGAUGCGUCUGAUUAGCUUGCCGGCGGGGUAACGGCCCACCGGGGCGACGAUCAGUAGGGGUUCUGAGAGGAAGGUCCCCCCACAUUGGGACUGAGACACGGCCCAGACUCCUACGGAAGGCAGCAG
rnacentral:rRNA from 1 species